GACGAACGCUGGCGGCGUGCUUAACACAUGCAAGUCGAACGGAAAGGCCCUGCUUUUGUGGGGUUCUCGAUUGGCGAACGGGUGAGUAACACGUGAGUAACCUGCCCUUGACUUUGGGAUAACUUCACGAAACUGGGGCUAAUACCGGAUAGGAGCUCCUGCUGCAUGGUGGGGGUUGGAAAGUUUCGGCGGUUGGGGCUGGUCUCGCGGGUUAUCAGCUUGUUGGUGAGGUAGGGGCUUUCCAAGGCUUUGACGGGUAGCCGGCCUGAGAGGGUGACCGGCCACCAUGCGACUGAGGGACGCAGCAGACGCGAAUGGGAGGCAACAGUCGAGAGUAUGACGGAGUAGGGGGGAGCCAGAGGUGGAGGCGCCGCGUGCGGGAUACCGGCCUUCGGGUUAAAAACAGCUUUGGACUGAGACGAGGCGUGAUUGACGGUAAUGGAUAAGGAAGCAACGGCUAACUACGUG
rnacentral:rRNA from 1 species